rnacentral:lncRNA from 1 species
AACGCCAAUGGCGCCGCCAUCGCUCAUCCAGAAUCUGGACGGGGUUUUUACCCAGAGAACCCCAUGCAACAGAGAUGGGCUCCACGAUGACGCCCCCAACGGGGAGAACGACGGCCUAGGACGUCGUCGCCAUCGCCAUCAGCAGGAUCGCCGGCAGAGGCUUUCACCCGCAGAAUCCCAUCCCUAUCUGCACGCUUACAAUGCGGCAAACCGAGGAAUGCAGCCACGGAAGGCCAUCCAGGGAUGGCGUCGCCACCGUGCCUCCUUGUGCCGCCGCUCUACCAUCUUGCUCCCUCACACUGCCUCCUCCUAGCCGUACCUCCGCCGCAC